UCCUGCAGAUGUAAACCAGGGAAGGGAGC
rnacentral:piRNA from 1 species